rnacentral:rRNA from 1 species
GUCCACGCCGUAAACGUUGUGCGCUAGGUGUAGGAGGUAUCGACCCCUUCUGUGCCGCAGCUAACGCAUUAAGCGCACCGCCUGGGGAGUACGGUCGCAAGACUGAAACUCAAAGGAAUUGACGGGGGCCCGCACAAGCGGUGGAGCAUGUGGUUUAAUUCGAGGCAACGCGAAGAACCUUACCCAGGCUUGACAUCCCAGGACAGCCCGUGAAAGCGGGUCUUCCCUUCGGGGGACCUGGAGACAGGUGUUGCAUGGCUGUCGU